GCACUUUCUCGUCUCUCUCUCAUCGCUUCCCCCUCCAACUAGGGCUCGGAGUGAGAAGCGACUGGCCUUAAACCCCAGACAGCAUCGCCAGAAUAUAGAAGACGAUAACUGGGCCCACCUUAGAGAUGGAGCCAGUGGAGCCACAGUCGCUGAAAAAGCUGUCUCAAAUCCCUCAAGCGAUCUCGCGAUCUUUUCUCUCCUGCCCAUGGUGAACUUGCGCCUCCUGACCCCGAAAGUACUUAGGCUAGGCAGUGUAAUGUGCAAUUCUUGGCUGCAUGGAGUUGGUUAAGGGAGGCAUAUCUGCAACGUUAGAUAAAAAUCUUCGUAGGGAUGUUCUUGGCAAUAUAGAAUACCAUUCAAAAUGUUCAAAGAGUUCGAUUUGAUUGAAGAGUAAAGUAUUUAUUAUUAUGGUAUUCAACAUCAGCUUUAAUGGAAAGAAUCCCCAGCAGAUGGCCACGUCCUGUUUGGCAUGCUCCUUGGAAGAUCUACAGGAUAUGGGAUGUAGGAACUGGGACGUUACAGCUUUCACUGACUGGACAUAUUGAACAAAUACGAGGACUUGCUGUCAGCAGCAGGCAUACCUAUAUGUUUUCUGCUGGUGAUGACAAACUAGUUAAAUGAUGGGACCUUGAUCAGAACAAGGUUAUCCGUUCAUAUCAUGGUCAUCUAAGUGGUGUUUACUGCUUGCCUCUUCAUCCCACUCUUAAUAUUUUACUUACUGGGGGGCGUGAUUCUGUAUGCCGGUCUGUCACUCUUGAUACCACCCAGUUGUUAGCUGAUUACUUAUUUGAGCCAGAGGAUCCAGUAAAAGCUGUCAAAAUGUCGAGGAAGGGUUUGUUGGAGCAAGACCUGAGUAAACUGGAUGUAACAAAGUUACAUCCACUGUCGCCUGAAGUUAUAUCUCACCAGGCGACUAUCAAUAUUGGUACUAUAGGUCAUGUGGCUCAUGGAAAGUCAACAGUUGUAAAAGCAAUAUCUGGUGUUCAGGUGAUUAGUAGUUUCCAUCUUGCAUUUGAUGCUGCUUGCUGUUUUUCCUUCUUCCUUUUUCUUUCUGCCUGGUCAUUUGAUAAUCAAGAAAGCAUCUGUUUCCAACUUACGAGAGUGUAAAACAGGGACAUCUGGUUAUGACUUUGAGCUACCAAUACACACUCACAGCAAAGGAUUUUAGUAUGAUUUAGCAUGAUUUGCUGGAGUUCCUUUAAUAACCUCGGGGUGUUUUAGCCGGAUUCUGUUCUACUUCCCUUUAGAGUGCACAUUGUGCUUCAAAAUUCUUUCAUUUCAUUGUUCUUAAGUUACUUUAUAUCCUAAAAGCAUAAGCUGAUUGGAUAUGGGCCCGAUAUUGUGUUUACAGAUUGAAUCCAACAUUUCACAAGCUAACUACAAUAAAAUAAAGUUACGUGCAUUAUGACAGUAGCAUGCCAGAAGAAGAGUGAGAGAGACACAGAGAGGGCUGCCUUGAUCGAGCUUCUAAUUAAAUAGCUAGCCAUAGUUUGGCUAUUGGUACAUGCAUAUGCACAAUCUAACACAUAAAUAAUAGAAAGAAAAGCAUAUGGAAAUUGGGUUACAAUAAUCGAAAGCAAGAGGACGUAGGUAGUACAAACAAACAAGAGGACAGAGGCCCUGUAACAAAGUAGAAAGUCCUCAAAGCCAAAGGCAUGAAUAUGGCAAUACUCUAUUCUCCUACUUGAUGGGUCGCCUUAGAAUGGGGAAAGCCAGAGUUGCUACUAAAAGAACCGAAUGUUAAAGACCAAAAAUGGGGAAAUCCAAAAGCUCCCUUCGUAGCAAGACAGAGAAGAGGAAGACUGAAUAUAACAAGACCAUGCAAGCUUGCAAUGCAACAAGCGAAUUGCUGAGGGAGGCAAUGGAGCAUGAUGAGGAAGACUCUGAUAAGUCCAAGUACGGGGUGAAUAACAAAGAAGAAGAAGAAUAAGAAAGGAAAGCUGGAAAAAAGGGAGAGAAGGAGAAGCAAUUGGUGUAGGAUUGCUUAGAAGAUAUGGAAGGAGAAGCAAUGGAGCUCAAAGUAGGAGAGUCAUGAUAUUCUUAUGGCUACUGUACUAUGCUUAAUGGUGCCGCCAUUAUGGAUGGAGCCUUACUUCUCAAUGUUGCGAACGAAAGCUGUCCCCAACCACAAACUUCUGAGCAUCUGGCUGCUGUUGAAAUUAUGUGUCCGCAACAUAUUAUUAUCCUUCAAAAUAAAGUUGACCUGAUUCAGGAGAAUGUGGCCAGCAUGGUGCAAUCCGGAAUUUUAUUUAGGGAACCAUAGCUGAUAAUGCACCAGUGGUGCCAAUUUCUGCUCAGUUGAAGUAUAAUAUUGAUGUUGUUUGCGAGUACAUCGUCAAAAAGAUCCCCAUUCCAGAAAGGAACUUUAUC